AUGAAAGAAGGCAAGGCGAUGGGCCCUGAUUGUAUACCCAUUGAGGUGUGGAAAGGUCUCGGGGACAUAGCGAUAGUAUGGCUAACCAAGCUUUUCAACCUCAUUUUUCGGGCAAACAAGAUGCCAGAAGAAUGGAGACGGAGUAUAUUAGUACCAAUCUUCAAGAACAAGGGAGAUGUUCAGAGUUGUACUAAUUACCGUGGAAUUAAGCUGAUGAGCCAUACAAUGAAGCUAUGGGAGAGAGUCAUUGAGCACCGCUUAAGAAGAAUGACAAGCGUGACCAAAAAUCAGUUUGGUUUCAUGCCUGGGAGGUCGACCAUGGAAGCCAUUUUCUUGGUACGACAACUUAUGGAGAGAUAUAGGGAGCAUAAGAAGGACUUGCAUAUGGUGUUCAUUGACUUGGAGAAGGCCUAUGAUAAGAUACCGCGGAAUGUCAUGUGGUGGGCCUUGGAGAAACACAAAGUCCCAACAAAGUACAUUACCCUCAUCAAGGACAUGUACAAUAAUGUUGUGACAAGUGUUCGAACAAGUGAUGUCGACACCGAUGACUUCCCGAUUAAGAUAGGACUGCAUCAGGGGUCAGCUUUGAGCCCUUAUCUUUUUGCAUUGGUGAUGGAUGAGGUCACAAGGGGUAUACAAGGAGAUAUCCCAUGGUGUAUGCUCUUUGCAGAUGAUGUGGUGCUAGUUGACGAUAGUCGGACGGGGGUAAAUAGGAAGUUAGAGUUAUGGAGACAAACCUUGGAAUCGAAAGGGUUUAGGCUUAGUAGAACUAAAACCGAGUACAUGAUGUGCGGUUUCAGUACUACUAGCUGUGAGGAGGAGGAGGUUAGCCUUGAUGGCCAGGUGGUACCUCGGAAGGACACCUUUCGGUAUUUGGGGUCAAUGUUGCAGGAGGAUGGGGGUAUUGAUGAAGAUGUGAACCAUCGAAUCAAAGCCGGAUGGAUGAAGUGGCGUCAAGCUUCUGGCAUUCUCUGUGACAAGAGAGUGCCACAAAAGCUAAAAGGCAAGUUCUACAGGACGGCGGUUCGACCCGCAAUGUUGUAUGGCGCGGAGUGUUGGCCGACUAAAAGGCGACAUGUUCAACAGUUAGGUGUGGCGGAGAUGCGUAUGUUGAGAUGGAUGUGUGGCCACACGAGGAAGGAUCGAGUCCGGAAUGAUGAUAUACGAGAUAGAGUUGGGGUAGCACCAAUUGAGGAGAAGCUUGUCCAACAUCGUUUGAGAUGGUUUGGGCAUAUUCAGCGCAGGCCUCCAGAAGCUCCAGUGCAUAGCGGACGGCUAAAGCGUGCGGAGAAUGUCAAGAGAGGGCGGGGUCGACCGAUUUUGACAUGGGAGGAGUCCGUUAAGAGAGACCUAAAGGAUUGGAGUAUCGACAAAGAGCUAGCUAUGGACAGGGGUGCGUGGAAGCUUGCUAUCCAUGUGCCAGAGCCAUGA
rnacentral:rRNA from 1 species